CAGUAGCCGCGGGAAUACAGAGGGUGCGAGCGUUAAUCGGAAUAACUGGGCGUAAAGGGCACGCAGGCGGUGACUUAAGUGAGGUGUGAAAGCCCCGGGCUUAACCUGGGAAUUGCAUUUCAUACUGGGUCGCUAGAGUACUUUAGGGAGGGGUAGAAUUCCACGUGUAGCGGUGAAAUGCGUAGAGAUGUGGAGGAAUACCGAAGGCGAAGGCAGCCCCUUGGGAAUGUACUGACGCUCAUGUGCGAAAGCGUGGGGAGCAAACAGGAUUAGAUACCCGUGUAGUCCCUGUCUCUUAUAC
rnacentral:rRNA from 1 species